rnacentral:rRNA from 1 species
GACGAACGCUGGCGGCGUGCUUAACACAUGCAAGUCGAACGGAAAGGCCCCUUUGGGGGUACUCGGGUGGCGAACGGGUGAGUAACACGUGAGUAACCUGCCCUCGACUUCGGGGUAACUUAAGGAAACUGAGGCUAAUACCGGAUACAAAUCCUUACUGCAUGGAGGGUGUUGGAAAGAUUCGGCGGAUUUGGCUGGACGCGCGGCUUAUUAGCUUGUUGGUGGGGGAGUGGCUGGCCACGGCUUUGAAGGGUAGCCGGCCUGAGAGGGCGACCGGGCACAAUGGGCCUGCGGGACGGAGCAGACUGGUACGGGAGGCAGCAGUGGGGAGUAUUGCACAAUGGGGGGACGCCUGAUGCGGAGACGCCCCGUGCGGGAUGACGGGCUUCGGGUGGAGAACCGCUGUCAGCAGGGGCGGAGCUUGUGGUGACGGUACCUGAAGAAGAAGCAACGGCUAACUACGUG